GCCCGGCCACGGCGACCGGCUGGGCGAGGGCGAUGGUGCCGUCCGCGGCGGUGCCGCCGCCGGUGCCGGUGCCCGAUCCGCCGCCGGUGCCGGGCGCCA
rnacentral:tRNA from 1 species